AUACGUAGGUGACAAGCGUUAUCCGGAUUUAUUGGGUUUAAAGGGUGCGUAGGCGGACAGUCAAGCAGGGGGUGAAAUGCCGGCGCUCAACGCCGGAGCUGCCUUCUGAACUGGCUGUCUGGAGUGGCAGUGCCGUUGGAGGAAUGAGUGGUGUAGCGGUGAAAUGCUUAGAUAUCACUCAGAACACCGAUUGCGAAGGCAUCUGACGAACUGCCCACUGACGCUGAGGCACGAAAGCGUGGGGAUCAAACAGGAUUAGAUACCCUGGUAGUCCACGCAGGAAACGAUGAUGACUAACUGCCGGCCCGUUGCGGGUCGGUGGCCAAGCGAAAGCGAUAAGUCAUCCACCUGGGGAGUACGACCGCAAGGUUGAAACUCAAAUGAAUUGACGGGG
rnacentral:rRNA from 1 species